CCUANGGGCGGCAGCAGUGAGGAAUUUUGCGCAAUGGGGGAAACCCUGACGCAGCAACGCCGCGUGAGUGAAGAAGGCCUUCGGGUUGUAAAGCUCUGUCAAGUGGGAAGAACCUUUCCCGGCCGAAUAAGCCGGGAAACUGACGGUACCGCUGAAGGAAGCACCGGCUAACUCCGUGCCAGCAGCCGCGGUAAUACGGAGGGUGCAAGCGUUAUUCGGAUUUAUUGGGCGUAAAGGGCGUGUAGGUGGUCUGAUAAGUCAGGUGUGAAAGCCCCUGGCUCAACCAGGGAAGUGCAUUUGAAACUAUCAGACUUGAGUACGGGAGGGGGAAGUGGAAUUCCUGGUGUAGAGGUGAAAUUCGUAGAUAUCAGGAGGAAUACCGGUGGCGAAGGCGACUUCCUGGACCGAUACUGACACUGAGACGCGAAAGCGUGGGGAGCAAACAGGAUUAGAUACCCCUNUANUC
rnacentral:rRNA from 1 species